rnacentral:rRNA from 1 species
GAUGAACGCUGGCGGCGUGCUUAACACAUGCAAGUCGAACGGAAAGGCCCUGCUUUUGCUGGUUUCUCGUGUGGCGAACGGGUGAGUAACACGUGUGUAACCUGCCCUUGUCUUUGGGAUAACUUCACGGAACUCCGGCUAAUACCGCAGAUGAUCUCCUGCUCCAUGUUGGGGGUUGGUAAGUUACGGCUGUUGUGGAUCGUUUCGCGGCUUAUGCGCUAGUUGGUGUGGUAGUGGCGUACCAAGGCUUUGACGGGUAGCCGGCCUGAGAGGGUGGCCGGCCACAAUGCGCCUGAGAUACGCACCAGACUGCUACGGGCGGCAGUAGUGGGGAAUCUUGCAGAACGGGCGGAAGCCAGAUGCAGCAACGCCGGGUGCGGGAUGACGGCCUUCGGGUUGUAAACCGCUUUCGCCUGUGACGAAGCGUGCGUGACGGUAAUGGGUAAAGAAGCACCGGCUAACUACGUG